rnacentral:misc_RNA from 1 species
GAUGUAGAACGCAGCGAAAUGCGAUACGUAAUGUGAAUUGCAGAAUUCAGUGAAUCAUCGAGUCUUUGAACGCACAUUGCGCCCCCUGGUAUUCCGGGGGGCAUGCCUGUCCGAGCGUCAUUGCUGCCCUCAAGCCCGGCUUGUGUGUUGGGUCUCGUCCCCCUUCCCGGGGGGACGGGCCCGAAAGGCAGCGGCGGCACCGCGUCCGGUCCUCGAGCGUAUGGGGCUUUGUCACCCGCUCUGUAGGCCCGGCCGGCGCUUGCCGAUCAACCAAAACUUUUUUCCAGGUUGACCUCGGAUCAGGUAGGGAUACCCGCUGAACUUAAGCAUAUCAAUAAGCGGAGGA